rfam:Gossypium arboreum cultivar AKA8401 contig_778_11, whole genome shotgun sequence.
AACCCAUGGUGAGGGCACCUUCUCAAUAAAUCCUUAUACCUCUCUCAUGCAUCAUAUAGAGUCUUUAAAUCCAUUUGUACGAAGAAUGAGAUAUCAUUCCUCAACUU